AACGAACGCUGGCGGCGUGCUUAACACAUGCAAGUCGAACGUGAUCCAGGGCUUGCUCUGGUGAAAGUGGCGCACGGGUGAGUAACGCGUGGAUAACCUGCCCUGGUAUCUGGGAUAACAUCUCGAAAGGGGUGCUAAUACCGGAUAAGCCCACGGACUCCUCGGAGUCUGCGGGAAAAGGUGGCCUCUAUUUAUAAGCUACCGUAUCAUGAUGGGUCCGCGUACCAUUAGCUAGUUGGUGGGGUAAUGGCCUACCAAGGCUACGAUGGU
rnacentral:rRNA from 1 species